UCCCUGAUAGCUCAGUUGGUAAAGAAUCUGCCUGCAAUGCAGAAGACCCCGGUUCAAUUCCUGGGCUAGGAA
rnacentral:tRNA from 1 species